rnacentral:rRNA from 1 species
AUUGAACGCUGGCGGCAGGCCUAACACAUGCAAGUCGAGCGGAUGAGAGGAGCUUGCUCCUCGAUUCAGCGGCGGACGGGUGAGUAAUGCCUAGGAAUCUGCCUAGUAGUGGGGGACAACGCUUCGAAAGGAACGCUAAUACCGCAUACGUCCUACGGGAGAAAGUGGGGGAUCUUCGGCCCUCACGCUACUAGAUGAGCCUGGGUCGGAUUAGCUAGUUGGUAGGGUAAAGGCCUACCAAGGCGACGAUCCGUAACUGGUCUGAGAGGAUGAUCAGUCACACUGGCACUGAGGCACGGUCCAGACUCCUACGGGAGGCAGCAGUGGGGAAUAUUGGACAAUGGGCGCAAGCCUGAUCCAGCCAUGCCGCGUGUGUGAAGAAGGCCCUCGGGUCGUAAAGCACUUUAAGUUGGGAGGAAGGGCUUACAGCGAAUACCUGUGAGUUUUGACGUUACCGACAGAAUAAGCACCGGCUAACUUCGUGCCAGCCGCCGCGGUAA